GUACUAAUCUGCCGCACACAGGUAGAGGCUUAAAAUACAUCAAAAGUUUAAGAUUGCAUGUUGCAGCCAAGGAUCCAGGGAUAUCCCAGUUUCUGAGAAAGGCUCCCCAUCCAAAGCAUAAUUGGGCCGGAAGAAAAGGGAACCAUUAAAAUGGUGGAGGGAGUAAAUAGAAUAUACGGCAACCCAUACACAGCUGUCAGUUGCAGCGAGAUGCACCGGGUCUGAUAAACCCGGUGGUGGUCUUGUUGAUGCAGACGGAUGUAAACAAAAGAGGGAAGAAGAAACAUUAAAGCGUUGCGUGUCAGGCAGUGUAGCUGCUGGUAGUGUGUGUGUGUCCAGCGAGAGAUCUGACAAGAGCGAGAGAGAGAAAGAGAGAGGCUGAAGUUAAAUAAACUGCAACUAUUAAGCUUGCGAUGGGGCUGCACGCGGAAGCUUCGUUAAUCCUUUUCCGGUUACUGUGGAUUAUGGACGCAAGCUGGGUAUUCACGUAUGUGUGUGUGAGUGGGGCCAUACCGCCAAGUACUCUGCGUUGA